rnacentral:rRNA from 1 species
AAUUUUCAUCUAGCAGUGUUAAUAAUUAUGAGCUUAUUGACAAAAACUCUAUAAAAUUAUUUAUGGAGAGUUUGAUCCUGGCUCAGAGUGAACGCUAGCGGCGUGCCUAACACAUGCAAGUUGUGCGGGAUUCUGCAGAGUAUCGCAGAGUUUAGCGGCAAACGGGUGAGUAACACGUAGGAAACCUCCCUCAGAAUGGGGAAUAUUUCCGAGAAAUCGGAGCCAAUACCGCAUAAGACCACAGUUUGGCAUCAAAUAGUGGUUAAAGCAGCAAUGCGUUUUGAGAUGGUCCUGCGUCCUAUCAGCUAGUUGGCAGGGUAACGGCCCGCCAAGGCUAUGACGGGUAUCCGUCCUUAAAGGGUGAACGGACACACUGGAACUGAGACACGGUCCAGACUCCUAUGGGAGGCAGCAGUGGGGAAUUUUGGACAAUGGGGGAAACCCUGAUCCAGCGACGCCGCGUGGAGGAUGAAGGCCUUCGGGUUGUAAACUCCUUUUAGAGGGGAAGAAAUAAAUGACAUUACCCUCAGAAAAAGCCACGGCUAACUACGUGCCAGCAGCCGCGGUAAUACGUAGGUGGCGAGCGUUACUCGGAAUUACUAGGCGUAAAGCGUAUGUAGGCUGUCGUAUAAGUCUUUAGUAAAAUUUCCCGGCUCAACCGAGAAAAGCCUAAUGGAUACUGUUCGACUUGAGUGUGGGAGAGGGAGACGGAAUUCCUGGUGUAGCGGUGAAAUGCGUAGAUAUCAGGAGGAACACCGAUGGCGAAAGCAGUCUCCUGGACCAAUACUGACGCUGAUGUACGAAAGCUAGGGUAGCAAACAGGAUUAGAUACCCUGGUAGUCCUAGCUGUAAACUAUGUUCACUAGAUGUGGGAGGUAUCGACCCCUUCCGCGUCGACGUUAACGCAUUAAGUGAACCGCCUGGGGAGUACGGCCGCAAGGUUGAAACUCAAAGGAAUUGACGGGGGCCCGCACAAGCGGUGGAGUAUGUGGUUUAAUUCGACGCAACGCGAAGAACCUUACCUGGGCUUGAACUGCUGAUGGUAAAAACCGGAAACGGUGAUGACCCGCAAGGGAGUCAGCAGAGGUGUUGCAUGGCUGUCGUCAGCUCGUGUCGUGAGAUGUUGGGUUAAGUCCCGCAACGAGCGCAACCCUUAUCCCAUGUUACCUGUAGCGAUACGGGGUCUCUGAGGAAACUGCCAUUGAUAAAAUGGAGGAAGGUGAGGACGACGUCAAGUCAUCAUGUCCUUUAUGUCCAGGGCUACACACGUACUACAAUGGCCGGUACAGAGGGCAGCAAUAUCGUAAGGUGGAGCAAAUCCCUGAAAGCCGGCCCCAGUUCAGAUUGUGGGCUGCAAUUCGUCCACAUGAAGUAGGAAUCGCUAGUAAUCGCAGAUCAGCAGGCUGCGGUGAAUACGUUCCCGGGCCUUGUACACACCGCCCGUCACACCACGAAAGUCAGUCAUAACAGAAGUCGUCGGGCUAACCGAAAGGAGGCAGUCGCCUAAGUUAUGGUUGGUGAUUGGGGUGAAGUCGUAACAAGGUAGCCGUACGAGAACGUGCGGCUGGAUCACCUCCUUU